rnacentral:rRNA from 1 species
AACCUGGUUGAUCCUGCCAGUAGUCAUAUGCUUGUCUCAAAGAUUAAGCCAUGCAUGUCUAAGUAUAAGCUUCUAUACGGUGAAACUGCGAAUGGCUCAUUAAAACAGUUAUCGUCUCCUUGACAGUCAUCCAGUUUUGGAUACCUAUGGUAAUUCUAGAGCUAAUACAUAUGUACAGACCCGACUUCUUGGAAGGGUUGUGCUUAUUAGAUACUGAACCAACCUGUGCUUGCACAGUUUUGAGUUGACUCAUAGUAACCAGCGAACCGCAUGCUUCGGCGGCGGUGUGUCAUCCGAGUUUCUGACCUAUCAGCUUCCGACGGUAGGGUAUUGGCCUACCGUUGCUUUGACGGGUAACGGAGAAUUAGGGUUCGAUUCCGGAGAGGGAGCCUGCGAAACGGCUACCACAUCUAAGGGAGGCAGCAGGCGCGUAAAUUACCCAAUGCUAAUUCAGCGAGGUAGUGACAAGAAAUAACGGGUCGGGGCAUAUACCCUGGGACUGAAAUGAAGUGAAUUUACACCCCUUGGUAGAGCAACAAUUGGAGGGCAAGUCUGGUGCCAGCAGCCGCGGUAAUUCCAGCUCCAAUAGCGUAUAUUAAAGUUGUUGCGGUUAAAACGCUCGUAGUUGAUAUUCUGCUGGCAAUUCGGGGUACGCCCUAGUGGCGAUAACUUCAGGAAGUGCUUGCAUCAUCUUAGGGAAUGAUAUUGCACUUCGCUGUGCGAUUCAGAAACUAGGUCAUUUACUUUGAGGAAAUCGAAGUGCUCCAAGCAAGCAUACGCUUUGAACAUUGUAGCAUGGAAUAAUCUUACAAACUCUACUGACAUAGAUGAAUCUGUCAGUGGAGGUUAUGAGGAAUAGAAACAAAUGGGGGCAUUCGUAUUUAACUGCUAGAGGUGAAAUUCUUGGAUUUGUUAAAGACGAUCAACUGCGAAGGCACCUGCCAAGGAUGUUUUCAUUGAUCAAGAACGAAAGUUAAGGGAUCGAAGACGAUCAGAUACCGUCCUAGUCUUAACCGUAAACUAUGCCAACUAGGGAUUGGGGGAUGUUGAUUUUAUGGCACCUUCAGCACCUUUGGAGAAAUCAAAGUGCAUGGGUUCCGGGGGGAGUAUGGUCGCAAGGCUGAAACUUAAAGGAAUUGACGGAAGGGCACCACCAGGAGUGGAGCCUGCGGCUUAAUUUGACUCAACACGGGGAACCUCACCAGGUCCAGACAUAGCAAGGAUUGACAGACUGAGAGCUCUUUCUUGAUUCUAUGGGUGGUGGUGCAUGGCCGUUCUUAGUUGGUGGAGUGAUUUGUCUGGUUAAUUCCGUUAACGAACGAGACCUUAACUUGCUAAAUAAGUGUAGGUACAAACUGUGCAUUCCAUUUUCUUAGAGGGACUUUGCGUAUCCAACGCGAGGAAGCCUGAGGCAAUAACAGGUCUGUGAUGCCCUUAGAUGAUCUGGGCUGCACGCGCGCUACACUGAUACUUCCAAGCAGCUCUGCCAUCCUGAUAGGGGUGGAAAAUCCUAAAACAAUAUCGUGAUGGGAAUAGUUUAUUGCAAUGGUAAUCUUGAACGAGGAAUUCCUAGUAAGUAUGAGUCACCAGCUCAUGCUGAUUACGUCCCUGCCCUUUGUACACACCGCCCGUCGCUCCUACCGAUUGAAUGAUCCGGUGAAUAAUUUGAACCGAGUGGGGGGGUUUCCUACCUCACUUGGGAAGUUUGGUGAACCUUAUCACUUAGAGGAAGGAGAAGUCGUAACAAGGUUUCCGUAGGUGAACCUGCAGAAGGAUC